AUUAAUUAAUUAAGAUUGACCAACAGUCUUGAGAUCGCAAAUUUGAAGUGCUGUUUGGCUGCACUGUAGGCCUACUGUUCAUUUUCAGAUUCUUCAUCGCCAUCGUACUCAGUGAAUGCCUGGAUUCUUUUAGUUGAGGCCUAAUGCAGUUGUUUUUUCCAAAUCAUCUGGAUUGUGUGAAUAUCAAAUAUCUCUUCCAUCAGUUGCUUACAUGCUUCUCUUCUAGGCCUAUUUAUUGCUUUCAUCAUGUGUGGUUAUGACUCUGUUGGACUGUGACUGACACCUUCAAAAUAAACUGAAGGAAUAAGAACAACAAUGGGAAGAAAAUGCUCAGUUGGUGGAUGCAAAACUGGCUAUGACAGUCAGAAAGGUGCAGAAAAAGUGACCUUGUAUGGAUUUCCUUCGGAUGAAACAGAAUGUCGGGCAUGGACUGCUAGCUUACCAAACAUUUUAUCCUAUGAAAAGGUGUCAAAACAUAUCAGUGUGUGCCCUCCAUUUCCGUAAAACUCUAACUCAACUCA
rnacentral:lncRNA from 1 species